rnacentral:rRNA from 1 species
GACAGAGGGUGCAAACGUUGUUCGGAAUUACUGGGCGUAAAGAGUGUGUAGGCGGUGCUCUAAGUUCGGUGUGAAAUCUCCUGGCUUAACUGGGAGGGUGCGCCGGAAACUGGAAUGCUCGAGCGUGGGAGAGGAAAGCGGAAUUCCUGGUGUAGCGGUGAAAUGCGUAGAUAUCAGGAGGAACACCUGCGGUGUAGACGGCUUUCUGGACCAUUGCUGACGCUGAGACACGAAAGCGUGGGUAGCAAACAGG